rnacentral:rRNA from 1 species
UACGUAGGGUGCGAGCGUUGUCCGGAAUUAUUGGGCGUAAAGAGCUCGUAGGCGGUGUGUCACGUCGGCCGUGAAAACCUGCAGCUUAACUGUGGGCGUGCGGUCGAUACGGGCAUCACUGGAGUUCGGCAGGGGAGACUGGAAUUCCUGGUGUAGCGGUGAAAUGCGCAGAUAUCUGGAGGAACACCGGUGGCGAAGGCGGCAUCCUGGACCAACACUGACACUGAGGAGCGAAAGCCAGGGGAGCAAACGGG